AAGGAUCAUUAUUGAAUAAAAAACUUGAUAGGCUGUUGCUGGCCCCUUCUUAGGGUAGUGUGCACGCUUGUCAUUUAUUUAUCCACCUGUGCACCUUUUUGUAGACCUUAGAAUUUUGGGACUGCUGUGCCUGUGGCCAGCUUUUCCUUGUUUCUCUCUAGGUUCUAUGUUCCUCACAUACUCCUAUGAAUGUAAUAGAAUGUUGAUCUGCCCAUAAAGUUAUAUACAACUUUCAGCAAUGGAUCUCUUGGCUCUC
rnacentral:misc_RNA from 1 species